AUCGAUUUAGCCCAGAAAUGAGUUCUGCACCUUUAAGGCUGGUUCUGAGACAGAAGGGUGGCAGGAAGUGAGAAGUUUUUUUUAGAAACUGCACUCCUCCAUAUUCCGGCUGCUGGACAGACAGAUUGCAGAACAGGGCUCUCCUUUGGUUUUAUUUCGUUCUUAGCUCUCUAAGGCAGAUAAGUGCCCUGGACUGUGGUUUUUCUUUUAUUUUAGAGCUGUUUAAACCUGCUCUGAACAUCCAGAAGAGCACUGGCAGCUCCACCUGUGGCCCAUUGGCCCAAGCCUGGUCCACAGCAUUUCCAGUGAUGGAGAAACUGAUAAGAGACUGAGUGAGCAGAGCUACAGCCCAUGGAGGGACUUUCUGAGUUUGUCAUAUCAUUUUUUGAGCGGCAAGAGGUGUUAUUGUUUAAUAUUGUUCAUUUGCUGUGCUCAUGAAUGCUUUACCUGUUAAAUAAACAGGUUUUUUCCACUUUUCUCCAAAUAAAUCUUUUCCCAAACUGAUUGGGGGAGAGGCUGCUUGAAUUUGCUUUCUAGAGGAAACCCCUUUUGGAGGUUUUCUCCCAAAUUUGCCCUAAACCAGGACAGGGCGGUGGGGAGAUGAGAGAACCCCAAGUGACUGGAUUGGGGGGAGGCUGGAGAUAGGGACCCUGGAACCAAAAACCCCCCAGCAUCCCUAAGCAGGAGCCUGGAGAGGGGGGAUCCCCAGCACCCAUGGUAUCCUCUGCAGCCAUGAGAGAGGGGACCACCAGAAUCCCAGAGGGAUGAGACUGGAAAUGGGACACUCCUGGUGGGUUUUUUUUAAUUCACUUUUGCUUUUUGAAGGUUUUUAUGGAUACCAGGUGACUUCUAGGGAUGGACUUGGGCAAAGGACCUUCAUACACACUGUGCUCAUCUCUUGUUUUUCCCCAAACCAGGAUUUCCCAUUCCCAAAUCUUGGCCCAAUGGAGGUGAAGACUGCAAGGAAGAGGAGGAUGCCCAGAGACACUCAGGCAGGAGAUGGAGGACGAGGCUGUGAGGAAGAGGAAGAUGCCCCGGGACACCCAGGCUGACAAGAAUCUGAGGAUGGAGACCAGGGAGGACAAAUCCCCGUGGCAGAACCUCGAGGAGGAGGCUGUGUUGCGCAGCUCCAUGGAGAAGGAAUCCAAUGGGGAAGAAAAGACACAGAGAUCCUACAGGAGGAGAGGCUCUAAAUGCACCCCCGGGUGCUCUGAGGGGGAAAGACCCACCCUGAGCCAGGAAGGUGGACAGAGCUACAGCCAGGGAUCAGAGCUGGUGGUCCAUGAGCAGCUUCAUGAUGGGGAGAAGCCCUACAAGUACUUGGAGUGUGGGAAGAGCUUCAGGAGGAGCAACACCCUGAUCAGCCACCAGAUGAUCCACACUGGGGAGUGGGCCUAUGAUUGUGGGAAGUGUGGGAAGGGCUUCAGCUGCAGCUCAGAACUUGUCAGACACCAACGCAUCCACAGUGGUGAGAGGCCCUGUGAGUGUCCCCAGUAUUGGAAGAGGUUUCAGAGCAGCUCCAAUCU